rnacentral:lncRNA from 1 species
CGGCCGCUCCAUCGUCUGCACCAUCCACCAACCCAGUGCCAAGCUCUUCGAGCUCUUUGACCAGCUUUAUGUCCUAAGUCAAGGACAAUGUGUCUACCGGGGAAAGGUCUCGAAUCUCGUGCCGUACCUGAGGGAUCUGGGUCAGUUUAACCCCUGUGAGCCUCAGUUUCCCCACCUGUAAGUAAUUGCACUGGAUCUUGUUUUGACCGGUCCUGAGAUUCCUCGGCUGUGGCCUUGACGCUUUCGUAUCUUAUCUGUAGAGAGAGCUAAGGGUCCGAAUUUUCCUUACGGCAUGGAACGUGCUUUGGAACUAUUUAGAGAUUCUUUUUAUUUUUUACACUCCUAGGUCUUUUUUUAUAGAGAACACGAUUGAAAUGCGUAUUACGAUGUAAUCUUCAGUUUGCUUGUUCUAUACAAACAUGGCCUUGCCUUCUAGACUCAGCUUUUAACCAGGGACACGAUUCGCCUUUAUAAAAAGUCUUCAUUAAAAAAAAAAAUUGAAAA